rnacentral:lncRNA from 1 species
UUACAUGCAUUUGUGCAUUCAAAAAAGUAAAAAAGUUAGUUUCUUCAAAUGUAAAGUCCAUAUACAUUAUCUGAUCAUCAAUUCAUCAUGUCAACUUUCUAUAUACUACUAUUUUAAAUAUUUUAUUUGAAAAUAGUACUAUUCUCAUUCAUUUAUUUGUUUAUUUUGUAAAAGUUAUAAAGGAAUUAAACUUUAGGUUUUGUUUUCAACAUUGUUUAGGAUCUUCUUAAUUAUUUGUUGAAAUUCAAGAAUUAAAAAUGAAAUGAAUUUUAAAAUUUUUUAUAUUUUUGUUUAGUAUUAAAGAUGCUAAAUAAAAAGAGGCAUCAUAAAAUAAAUUCACUUAAGACCACAGAUACUCUAAAGUCAGCCAUGAUGCAACUCUCCUUCUAUUUAGAGUUAAAUGUUUUUUUUUUUUUUUUUGGGCUUGGAAGAUAUAGCUCACCGCUUCUAGGCAGAAGUCGACUUCCCAACAUGAAAACUUUAGGGGAUAAUGCUCAUGUAAUGCGAUUAUCGCACAUAAAUUUUUCUAUUAAAUAACUGUAAGUUACAGUUAUAAAGUCCUUUUCAGUAUUGCGAUGUGUGGCUUGAGAGCUACUAUUAUCAUAAAAAAGGUUGUAAUUAAAAAUUAAAAAUUAAUAAUAUGAUAAAUAUAAUUUUACCAUGAAAGUUUAAAAACUACACUUAGCUGACUACAGUAUCGAACAGACUCUAAUAAGUCUGUCUCCCACAAAGCUUUUGUAUUGGUCAAUUAUAGAUUCCGUAAGUUCUCGGCGGCAAAAACUUUAAUUAUUCGGUUACAUCAUAAAUUGCAUUAAAUGCAUAAAUAGUUCAGUUGAAGGAAUGCCAGCUGACAAUGACAAUAGGUUGUUCCCAGCUAACAUCCAACACGUCAUUCAAAUUUAAUAAAUUCUUGAGUUGCUUAAAUGUCUCAUACAUUUGAAAAAUGUUAAGUUACAUUGAAUAUAAUUUAGAGACCCCCCAAACAUAUUAAUCAAAGCGAGGGAGUAGAAGGAAGCGGGCAAUAAGCAAAUCAAACGAUUUCCAAAUUCACCAAAAGGUAAAAAGAAAACAAAGCGAGUUCUCAUAAUCUUAAAUAUCACGUGUGUUGUUCUGAUGAAGAUUUGACGUUACCUGUGCAUUUGUUCCCACGUACGUACGACGACAUAAUAUGGGCAUUCAAUCCUGCUCCCUUUCUUUCACCUAACAUUUUCUCCAAAUUCAUUCAGCAAUUGUGGUGGAGAUUGGUGCGGUGAUAAACUUUUCAGUACUACUUUAUUCUAAAUAAACUUUUAUUCACAUUUCUUAAAAAUUACAUAAAUCGAAUAUAUUGAAAUAAAAAUAAAAAAUGUUUAAUACUAAAAAUAAGAAAAAUUAUUAUUCUUAUUUUCUAUUUUAUCUAAUCUAUUUCAUAUCUUUUUUAAUAUUUAUUCUAAUUUUUUUAAUUAUUUAUAGACUGACAAGAUAUUAAUAAAAUAAUAAAUACAAUUUAAAAAGAUAUUUCAAGAUAUUUGUUUUUCACAUACAUUGCAACAUAUACAUUUUUUAACUAUUUUUUCUCAUAAUAAAAAUAUAUUUUAUGUUCUCAAGAGCAAAUAUCAAGCAAAUGAUCUAUUUACUUAUCUUUUCUUUUAAAAUUUGGUGCGUGGAGAGUACUUGGUAUUAUAAAAAUAAUAAAAGUAAGCAGUAGGUAGUGAUUUGAAUAGGAAAAAACUGACAAUUUCCUAAAUACAAAUACUAAUCUAAUAACUUAUGAAUUCUCAAUUAAACAGCGGACACUGAAACUUAUUGCUUCUUCUUAACAUUACUCUUACUAUAUCAUAAUACAUAAAAAGUGAUACAUAUUGAUUUUAUGGUGUAGAAAAUUAGCGUUUGGGAGAACUCUAAUAUAAAAAAAUUAUGUAUUUCUUUUAUUUAAAAUUUGAAGGUUUCAACUAUUUUAGGCAUUAAAUUUAUGUUCAAUUGAAAAAUUUACGAGACACCAAACAAUUAGAUUAUUAGUUAUUUUCGAUAUCAAAUUUUAUUCGGAAAAAUAUCAAUUUGCACAAUAAAAAUUAACCAAACAAUAUGUUUGGGUGGUAAAAGGGCCACCAUCUACACGUGCACAUGUAUGGUCGAAAGUGCAAUCUCCUCGUGGUUAAGGGGGUGUAGGAGCAGAUGUUGUAGUGCUCACGAAUGUGAGAAUUAACAUAAAGUUACGAGGAGAUACCAAGACCCUCUCCAGAGAGUGACCAAAGGUUGACCAGAGAGUUGUUCUAGAAAAACCGGGCACGAUGCCCACACCCAAAUGGUUAUUGCAUCAACCUCUAACCGCCCGGAGAUAAGCACGUUGGACCAUUACCUAAUUUGCAUAAUCAACUAACCCACUAAGGCUCACGAAUCAAGGAUGAUGUUGCACGUUUUGCUACACACUUGACUGCCUAUAAAGCCCCUGAAAAUUGCAGAUGGAGGAAAGACAUAAGAAGUUAAGGGGAAACUCUGCCAUUUUGAAUCUAGAAUUCAUUUCUUUUGCAUAUUCUGACUAUUUUUAUUCUGUAAACAAAUUACUAAGUUACAUUGAAAAGUGGCUCAAGUUUUUUUUUUUUAGAAAACCUGAAAACUGACUUAAGCAUUGGAGGGUUUUCGCCGGAAAACCAUCGGCACUUUCUGACUCUUUUUUUGUGAUUGUAGGUGUAAAGAGUAUGAAGGUUGAUGAAAUCGUUAAAUUCUGCUCGAUUGGAGUAAUUGCAAGCAGCUUUACUCCCCAUUAAAAACAAAUUUAGGUGUUGACAAGACAACCUAAUCAUCUCUACACGUACGACCAGAUUUCUGCAUCAACACAAUAUUUUUGUUUUCAGUUUAAUAUAAUUUAAAACAUUUAUUAAUGUGUUCAUAUUUGAAUUUACUGGGUUUAGUUAAAAAAAAUUAUUAUUAUAUUAUUUUUCUUGAAAGUGAACAUCAAAUAUUUAGAUGAGUUCAUA